GAUCAUGGCUCAGGAUGAACGCUAGCGGCAGGCUUAACACAUGCAAGUCGAGGGGCAGCAUAAUGGAUAGCAAUAUCUACGGUGGCGACCGGCGCACGGGUGCGUAACGCGUAUGCAACCUACUUUUAACAGGGGGAUAACACUGAGAAAUUGGUACUAAUACCCCAUAAUAUCAUAGAAGGCAUCUUUUAUGGUUGAAAAUUCCGAUGGUUAGAGAUGGGCAUGCGUUGUAUUAG
rnacentral:rRNA from 1 species